CGAUUUUAGUUUUUUUUCACCAGCAGCCGGUGCGAGUCACCACGAGUGUUUUGUGCAGCGCGCGUUCUCCCUGAUCGUGUUCGGUUUGUUGUUUCCCAUAAAGCCGCGUCCUCGUCGCCGUUUCCGGUGCGCGCAAGUUCUCUGCGUGGUGCGUGUGUGUACUUUUGUAACGUGUGCUGUUCUUUUCAAGAACAGCGUCAAUCCUCCAUUUUGGACGACAUCGUGCCCGUGAAGAAGGGGUCAAGAUCACUUUCUCUUUCACCGGGAACGCAGACAUCCUGGAAGCUGCCACUUCUAAAACAAGCGGAAGUGUUCUGCAUCCGGUGGCGUAUUGCAACUAUCAACUGUUGUGCAAGCAAGCAGAUAAACUCAAACAAAGUGAAACGAGUGAACAAAUGUUGAGUGCAGUUUCUGAUAUCCCCGGAGGAGAGUUCCCGUGAAUAGCAAGUAGUUGUGAAUGAAGUUAAAAGUAACACGAUGUUACCUGUGUACCAUGCUUAACUCCAAUUUCCAUUCGUGGUGAAUUCCGGUAGUAGUAAAAAAUACUCCUCAAAUCCAAAUUCAUGCUAGCGAAUUCCUGUGCGGAUCUUGUAGUCGUACGCACGCCGCGUGCGUCCUAGCGCGUCCUAGUGUGUGCGAGUGAGUGUGUGUUCCUGUUCAAACGUUAAAAUGGUUCGCAAUGUGCUGUUGUGUGCAGAAGCUAUCUGGUAACCGAUUAAUAAGCGAAAGCAAAAGUUUGAAGUGAUCGUUUUCAAUUCUCGCCCAAGUGGCGGUACGAGUGUUUGUGCGGUGCCGUGUGUGUUUGUGCCAUAUGAUAAAGCGUUCAAAAAUCAGUAAACGAAGCUGCAAAACAGCAAGAAUUUAGCACCAAGCUAAGGGGGAAAACAAGGAAAAAGGAAACCUCCGGUUGAGAAGUGCGAGAAAAGUUUUUCCACGCCGGUGUGAAAAUCAAGAAGCACACCGAUUUCCUUCCUUCGAAGUGUUUGUGCGCGGCGGGUUGUGUUGUGUUUUCCGUUUUGUUCGGUGAGUGUGUGUGUGUGCUUUCCGUGUGUCUAUACGAUGUGUGAAGUCAUCGAGGCGCAACGUGCAGAUGUAAACAAAGCGGCCAAUUGAGCAGUCACGAGUUCCAUUUUUCCCCAUCCCCAGAACCGGAAAAGGCAGGAAAAGCGCUGGCUGUGGUAGUGAAAAACAAAAUCGCACCAAAGGCUGGCUGCUGGGCACCGAAGAUAAAAGCAUUAUUAAUCAUCGAUUUUUGUUUUUCGCGCCGGAGAUCAGUUUCGUGGUCGUAACCGCCCGAGAGGUUUGUGUUGUGUGCGGUUAUUUAGUGUGCGUUUCGAAUGAUGUGUGUGUGCGUUCGUAAGUGUGUCUGUGAGCAACGCAGCAAGAAGCCGGUUUAGUUUCGUUGUUGUUAUAAUUGUUGUGCAAAAUAAGUGUUUAAGCAUCAGCAGAAGCCAAUAUCCGUGCUCGACCUAGAGAAAGUAGCUGGCAAAAGAAUCAUAGUAUUAUUAGCUGUUUAGGGGCUGUUUAGAGGGCUGUUGUUUCGUCUAGUGUGAAUGCAGUUGCCAGCCGCUUAAGCGGAGUGUUUUGCGAAACGAGCUUCGACUGCGAUUUGUGUCCCGAGUUCGGAUCCCGCUACCAGUUGCAAGAACGCCCAACGAUGGAUAUACUGCCGAGUGGAAGCAUUUUCCGGGAGCUCCAGAUCAUCCACGAAACGGGAUGCUUCUCGUCCGAGUCCUCCUUCGAGGAUCAAUGGCAACAGG